GGACGAACGCUGGCGGAGUGCUUAACACAUGCAAGUCGAGCGAUGAAGCACUGUCGGGUGUGAAUUAGCGUAUAACGGGUGAGGAACUCGUGAAGAAUCUGCGUUCAACUAUGGGAUAUCUCCGGGCAACCGAGGUUAAUACGGGAUGUGAGCAUCGAUAGCAUGAUUGGGGCUGGAAAGUUUUUCGUUAGAAGAUGAAUUCGCGGCGUAUCAGCUUGUUGGUGAGGUAAUGGCUCACCAAGUCGACGAGGGGUAGCAGCCACGAGAGGGCGACCGCCCGCUCUGGGAUUGAGACACGGCCCACACUCGUGAGGGAGGCACCAGUGGGGAAUAUUGGGCAAUGGCGGUAACUCUGCACCAGGGACGCCGCGUGAGGGAAGAAGGCUUUCGGGUGGUAAGCCUCUUUCAGUAGGGAAGAAGCGAAAGCGACGGUACCUACAGAAGAAGCACCGGCUAUAUAUGUGCCAGCACACGCGGUAAUACAUAGGGGGCACGCGUUGUCAUGAAUUAUUGGGGGUAAAGAGCUUGUACGGGGUUUGAUAUGUCGCAUGUGAAAAUCAGGGGCUCAACCCCUGGCAUGCAUACGAUACGGUCGAUAUAGAGUUUGGUAGGGGAGACGGGAAUUCUUGGUGUAGCGCUGGAAUGCGCAGAUAUCAGGAGGAACACCGAUGGGGAGGGCAGGUUUCCGGGCCAAUACUGACACUAUGGAGCGAAAGCGUGGGGAGCGCACACGAUUAGAUACCCCGGUAGUGCACGCCGUAAACGGUGGGCCAUAGUUGUGCGAGCUUUCCACGGUUGCGGGACGCAGCUAACGCAU
rnacentral:rRNA from 1 species